GAUGAACGCUGGCGGCGUGCCUAACACAUGCAAGUCGAGCGAUUUACUUCGGUAAAGAGCGGCGGACGGGUGAGUAACGCGUGGGUAACCUGCCCUGUACACACGGAUAACAUACCGAAAGGUAUGCUAAUACGAGAUAAUGUGCUUUUUAUCGCAUGGUAGAAGUAUCAAAGCUUUUGCGGUACAGGAUGGACCCGCGUCUGAUUAGCUAGUUGGUAAGGUAACGGCUUACCAAGGCGACGAUCAGUAGCCGACCUGAGAGGGUGAUCGGCCACAUUGGAACUGAGACACGGUCCAAACUCCUACGGGAGGCAGCAGUGGGGAAUAUUGCACAAUGGGCGAAAGCCUGAUGCAGCAACGCCGCGUGAGCGAUGAAGGCCUUCGGCUCGUAAAGCUCUGUUGGUAGUGAAGAAAGAUAGAGGUAGUAACUGGCCUUUAUUUGUACGGUAUUACUUAGAAGUCACGGCUAAACUAACGUGCCAGCCGCCG
rnacentral:rRNA from 1 species